GUACAAUGGGUGGACUAACAGACACAUAAUUGAGAUCAGACCACUGACAUACAGGAACAGAGGGGGUUGAGGGCCCUGCUCGAUGAGCUUACAUGCUAGAGGGAGUGGGGUAUAGUGACACAAAGGGUUAAAGUAGGGGAAUUAAAUAGUUUGUUACAGAAGGGUUUAUUGAGUGCUUGGUAGGUCAUUUUUGACAGGUGAAGGAACGGAGUCAUGGGGUGGGGGAUGAGAAACCUGCUGACAGUUUAAUUGAUACGCUUUAAUAAAGAAGUGAGUUUUCAAAGAUUUUUUGAAGGAAUGGAGGCUGGGUGAAAGUCUGAUUGAGGAGGGAAGGGAGUUCCACAGAAUAGGUGCAGCCCUGGAGAAGUCUUGAAGGCGAGCAUCAGAGGUGGGGAUCCGGGCAGAGGAUAGGAGUAGGUCUUGGGCUGAGCGCAGGGGUCUCGUCGGGACAUACUUGUGUAUGAGGGAAGAUAGGUAUGUUGGAGCAGCAUUAUGUAGGG